UACGUAUGGUGCAAGCGUUAUCUGGAUUUACUGGGUGUAAAGGGAGCGUAGGCGGCGCGUUAAGUCUGAUGUGAAAACCCGAGGCUCAACCACGGGAGUGCAUUGGAAACUGGCGUGCUGGAGUGCCGGAGAGGUAAGCGGAAUUCCUAGUGUAGCGGUGAAAUGCGUAGAUAUUAGGAGGAACACCAGUGGCGAAGGCGGCUUACUGGACGGCAACUGACGCUGAGGCUCGAAAGCGUGGGGAGCAAACAGG
rnacentral:rRNA from 1 species